AGAACGAACGCUGGCGGCAUGCCUAAUACAUGCAAGUCGAACGAACUCUUCGGAGUUAGUGGCGCACGGGUGCGUAACGCGUGGGAAUCUGCCCCUUGGUUCGGAAUAACAGUUGGAAACGACUGCUAAUACCGGAUGAUGACGAAAGUCCAAAGAUUUAUCGCCAAGGGAUGAGCCCGCGUAGGAUUAGCUAGUUGGUGAGGUAAAGGCUCACCAAGGCAACGAUCCUUAGCUGGUCUGAGAGGAUGAUCAGCCACACUGGGACUGAGACACGGCCCAGACUCCUACGGGAGGCAGCAGUAGGGAAUAUUGGACAAUGGGCGCAAGCCUGAUCCAGCAAUGCCGCGUGAGUGAUGAAGGCCUUAGGGUUGUAAAGCUCUUUACCGAGAUGAUAAUGAACAGUAUCGGGAAGAAUAACGCCCCGGUACUAACUCCGU
rnacentral:rRNA from 1 species